rnacentral:rRNA from 1 species
AACCUGGUUGAUCUUGCCAGUAGUCAUAUGCUUGUCUCAAAGAUUAAGCCAUGCAAGUGAAAGUAUAUAUAUAUUUUAUAUGUAGAAACUGCGAACGGCUCAUUAAAACAGUUAUAGUCUACUUGACAUUUUUAUUAUAAGGAUAACUACGGAAAAGCUGUAGCUAAUACUUGCUUUAUUAUCCUUUGAUUUUUAUCUUUGGAUAAGUAUUUGUUAAGCCUUAUAAGAAAAAAGUUAUUAACUUAAGGAAUUAUAACAAAGAAGUAACACGUAAUAAAUUUAUUUUAUUUAGUGUGUAUCAAUCGAGUUUCUGACCUAUCAGCUUUUGAUGUUAGGGUAUUGGCCUAACAUGGCUAUGACGGGUAACGGGGAAUUAGAGUUCGAUUCCGGAGAGGGAGCCUGAGAAAUAGCUACCACAUCUAAGGAAGGCAGCAGGCGCGUAAAUUACCCAAUUCUAAAGAAGAGAGGUAGUGACAAGAAAUAACAAUGCAAGGCCAAUUUUUGGUUUUGUAAUUGGAAUGGUGGGAAUUUAAAAUCUUCCCAGAGUAACAAUUGGAGGGCAAGUCUGGUGCCAGCAGCCGCGGUAAUUCCAGCUCCAAUAGCGUAUAUUAAAAUUGUUGCAGUUAAAACGCUCGUAGUUGAAUUUCAAAGAAUCGAUAUUUUAAUGCAACUAUUUUAGGGGAACUAUUUUUAGCUUUUAUGCUUUUAAUACGCUUCCCCUAUAAUUAUGUUCUUUAAAUAACAAAGAUUCUUUUUAAAAUCCCCACUUUGCUUUUUUGCUUUUUGGGGAUUUUGUUACUUUGAGUAAAUUAGAGUGUUCAAAGCAAACAGUUAAAGCAUUUUACUGUGUUUGAAUACUAUAGCAUGGAAUAACAAAAUUGAACAAGCUAAAAUUUUUGUUCUUUUUUCUUAUUUUGGCUUAGUUACGAUUAAUAGGAGUAGCUUGGGGACAUUCGUAUUCAGAUGUCAGAGGUGAAAUUCUUAGAUUUUCUGGAGACGAACAACUGCGAAAGCAUUUGUCUAAAAUACUUCCAUUAAUCAAGAACGAAAGUUAAGGGAGUGAAGACGAUCAGAUACCGUCGUAAUCUUAACCAUAAACUAUGCCGACUAGGUGUUGGAUGAAAGUGUUAAAAAUAAAAGUCAUCUUUCGAGGUGACUUUUAGAUUGCUUCCUUCAGUACCUUAUGAGAAAUCAAAGUCUUUGGGUUCUGGGGCGAGUAUUCGCGCAAGCGAGAAAGUUAAAAGAAUUGACGGAAGGGCACCACCAGGCGUGGAGCUUGCGGCUUAAUUUGACUCAACACGGGGAAACUCACUAGUUUAAGACAAGAGUAGGAUUGACAGAUUAAUAGCUCUUUCUUGAUUUCUUGGAUGGUGAUGCAUGGCCGUUUUUAGUUCGUGAAUAUGAUUUGUCUGGUUAAUUCCGAUAACGAACGAGAUCUUAACCUGCUAAUUAGCGGCAAGUACACCAUAUUCUUAAUUGAAAUUGAAUAUAGGUAAUUAUACAUUUAUUCAGUGUUCAAAUUAGGAUAUUUUUAUUAAAAUAUCCUUUUCCCUGUUCUACUAAUAUUUUGUUUUUUACUCUAUUUCUUUCUUCUUUUAAGAAUGUACUUGUUUGAUUGUAAAGCUUCUUAGAGGAACAUUGUGUGUCUAACACAAGGAAGUUUAAGGCAACAACAGGUCUGUGAUGUCCUUAGAUGAACUAGGCUGCACGCGUGCUACACUGAUAUAUAUAACGAGUUUUUAAAAAUAUACUUUUAUAUUAGUAUCUUUGGAUACUUUUAUAUUUUGUAUACUUUUCCUCCGCCGAAAGGUGUAGGUAAUCUUUAUCAAUAUAUAUCGUGAUGGGGAUAGAUUAUUGCAAUUAUUAAUCUUGAACGAGGAAUGCCUAGUAAGCAUGAUUCAUCAGAUUGUGCUGACUACGUCCCUGCCCUUUGUACACACCGCCCGUCGCUCCUACCGAUUGAAAGAUAUGAUGAAUUGUUUGGACAAGAAAAAGUGGAAUUAUAUUCCUUUUUUUCUGGAAAAACCGUAAAUCCUAUCUUUUAAAGGAAGGAGAAGUCGUAACAAGGUUUCCGUAGGUGAACCUGCGGAAGGAUCAUUA